rnacentral:misc_RNA from 1 species
CCUGUGAUACGAGUUAAAAAUGCAUUUUUCAACAAAAUUUGCCCUUUCGUGUGGCUUUUCUUUUUGAAAAAAGAAAAAGAAACAACCCAUCAAUAUAUGAUUAAUAUAUAAAAAGAAGAGAAUUAAAGAGCAUAGAUAGAAGCGAAGUGUGAACAAGAGAUAAAAAAGAAGAAAAUAGCAGGCAUGAUUGUUUCUCCAUUACAGGAAUUCUUCCCCCAUGGAUCUUCAAGGAUCUAAUGAUUUUUUCUUUUUUUUUUUUAAAAAAAAAAAAGAAAAAAUCAUUAGAUCCUUGAAGAUCCAUGGGGGAAGAAUUCCUGUAAUGGAGAAACAAUCAUGCCUGCUAUUUUCUUCUUUUUUAUCUCUUGUUCACACUUCGCUUCUAUCUAUGCUCUUUAAUUCUCUUCUUUUUAUAUAUUAAUCAUAUAUUGAUGGGUUGUUUCUUUUUCUUUUUUCAAAAAGAAAAGCCACACGAAAGGGCAAAUUUUGUUGAAAAAUGCAUUUUUAACUCGUAUCACAGG